rnacentral:rRNA from 1 species
GCUUACGGCCACACCACCCUGAACGCGCCCGAUCUCGUCCGAUCUCGGAAGCUAAGCAGGUCGGGCCUGGUUAGUACUUGGAUGGGAGACCGCCUGGGAAUACCAGGUGCUGUAAGCU